GCAAAAUACUGCAGAGAGGAGAAUGGGCAGUAUGGAGAAUGUAUUUCAAAAAAGUCUGAAACAGAGGUACACCAACAUGACAGCAAGAGAAAACAGGACAAGAAGAAUAAUAUCAAGAGAAAAUGCAACAAAAAAAAUAGUUACAGACAAAGUGGAGAAACUGAAAGUGACAGCAUUCAUAAAAUUACUCAGAAAGUAGACCAAAAGAGUAGCCAUUUUUCACCAGGCAGAUUAAAACGUACAUUGUCAAAGGCUAGCCGGAAAGCAUAUAUAAUACCAAAAGAAAAUCUAACGCAGUUCUCACUUUGCAAAAAUGAAGAAUUAAAAAAUAAAGAUGCAUUGCUUGGAAAUAAAGUAACUGAAACUCAGCAAAUGCUGGUAGCUUUAGUUACUCAGAAUGGUGUAGCUAUGAAUACACCACAAGCUAAAGAACAAGUUGAUGAUGGUGCUAAUAUGUUUAAGGAAGUAGAUUCCUCAUCGGUGGCACAUAAAAGCCCUCACGUUAGUAAUUCUCCUGAUAAUUGGGUAAAGCUCAAACAGAGGUUUAGUUCUGAUGUUACUGAGACCAGACCAGAAAAAAUUGAUUUCAGACAUAUUGAUCAGGGAAGGCAGAAAAUUUUGGAUGACCAGGAAGUCCCUCAUGAGAUAGAUUCCUUUAUAAGCAAGUUAAAGCCUACGGUUCAAAAACCAGAAUUUUCAAAAUUCUUGCCUGUCAAGUGUUCUGAGAAUAUGCCAUUAAAUGUAGAUAGCUUUUUCCAGGAGGGUCUUUCCAAUGUGGAGCUCCCAGCUCUUGAUAACCACAGUGUUUCCAUGAACUUCUCUUUACUGAAAAACUCUGAAAUCUAUGGGGAAAAUGAUCAUAAUAAAGCACUGGAUGCUGGAAAAGUAGAACAAAAACUGGAUCACAUUUCUAAAGAGACUUACAAAAAGACUCUGACACCUUGUCAUGGCAAAAAGGCUUUGCAAGAUCUGACAAAUACUGAUAUACAGUCUCGUACUUCCUUACCUAAAUCCCCCAAAGCUUUAGAAGAAAACUCAGGAGCACCAUCUAGACGAGGAAGAGCCACUGUUUGCUACAAAGAACCCAGUCUAAACCGCAAACUAAGGCGUGGGGAUCAGUUUACAGAUACACAAUUUCUGGAUUCCCCAGUCUGUAGAGUUAAAAAUAAAAGAAUUUUUAAAAGUAAAUCAAAAUUUAUUUGAAGAAGACAAGAGAAUUGCCUUUAUGAACAUUACUUCUAAAAUGGGUACAGUUUUAAAUAUAUAUAUAUAUGUAUAGUUAGCAGUAUAGAGUGCUUAUUGUUCUUUGAUUAGUAAAGGUUUUCCAAAGUGGAAUUUCCUGGAAAGAAGACCCUAUAUAAGGGACACAAUGCUUUACUGAGGAAGGCAAAUAUAGGUUAGGCUUCACUCUCGUGUUUUGCAUUUCUGGUCAGUAAGUUAUAAUUUGAUCAAAGGGUUUGCAUCACUUUUUAAUUUGUAAGAAAAGUAUACAUUUUAAUGAGAAUUAAAAAUAAAUCACCU
rnacentral:lncRNA from 1 species